CCCUUAGAUGUUCUGGGCCGCACGCGCGCUACACUGACGAUGGCAACGAGUUUUUCCUUCGCCGAAAGGUGUGGGUAAUCUUUUGAAACAUCGUCGUGCUGGGGAUAGAUCAUUGCAAUUUUUGAUCUUGAACGAGGAAUUCCUAGUAAGCGCGAGUCAUCAGCUCGCGUUGAUUACGUCCCUGCCCUUUGCACACACCGCCCGUCGCUACUACCGAUUGAAUGGUUUAGUGAGGACUCCUGAUUGGCGCCGCCGCCCCGGCAACGGAGCAGCGGACUGCCGAAAAGUUGUUCAAACUUGAUCAUUUAGAGGAAGUAAAAGUCGUAACA
rnacentral:rRNA from 1 species